CUGCAGCUUAUUAAGCCGACCAGUUGUGCUUCAGUGUGUUUCUGGUGUGCAAUGGCUGCAGACAGUAACUCUUUGGUUGUGUAUGUCCUCAGCUGGGUGGUGCUGAGUGCUUUAAGGGACCACUGAGACAAAA
ensembl:snoRNA SNORA70 Small nucleolar RNA SNORA70